UACGGAGGGUGCAAGCGUUAUCCGGAUUCACUGGGUUUAAAGGGUGCGUAGGCGGGUUGGUAAGUCCGUGGUGAAAUCCCCAAGCUUAACUUGGGAACUGCCGUGGAUACUAUUAAUCUUGAAUAUCGUGGAGGUAAGCGGAAUAUGUCAUGUAGCGGUGAAAUGCUUAGAUAUGACAUAGAACACCAAUUGCGUAGGCAGCUUACUACACGAUCAUUGACGCUGAGGCACGAAAGCGUGGGGAGCAAACAGG
rnacentral:rRNA from 1 species